CUGUGAGCUCGAUGAGUAGGGCGGGACACGUGGUAUCCUGUCUGAAUAUGGGGGGACCAUCCUCCAAGGCUAAAUACUCCUGACUGACCGAUAGUGAACCAGUACCGUGAGGGAAAGGCGAAAAGAACCCCGGCGAGGGGAGUGAAAAAGAACCUGAAACCGUGUACGUACAAGCAGUGGGAGCACAGAGCAAUCUGUGUGACUGCGUACCUUUUGUAUAAUGGGUCAGCGACUUAUAUUCUGUAGCAAGGUUAACCGAAUAGGGGAGCCGAAGGGAAACCGAGUCUUAACUGGGCGUUAAGUUGCAGGGUAUAGACCCGAAACCCGGUGAUCUAGCCAUGGGCAGGUUGAAGGUUGGGUAACACUAACUGGAGGACCGAACCGACUAAUGUUGAAAAAUUAGCGGAUGACUUGUGGCUGGGGGUGAAAGGCCAAUCAAACCGGGAGAUAGCUGGUUCUCCCCGAAAGCUAUUUAGGUAGCGCCUCGUGAAUUCAUCUCCGGGGGUAGAGCACUGUUUCGGCAAGGGGGUCAUCCCGACUUACCAACCCGAUGCAAACUGCGAAUACCGGAGAAUGUUAUCACGGGAGACACACGGCGGGUGCUAACGUCCGUCGUGAAGAGGGAAACAACCCAGACCGCCAGCUAAGGUCCCAAAGUCAUGGUUAAGUGGGAAACGAUGUGGGAAGGCCCAGACAGCCAGGAUGUUGGCUUAGAAGCAGCCAUCAUUUAAAGAAAGCGUAAUAGCUCACUGGUCGAGUCGGCCUGCGCGGAAGAUGUAACGGGGCUAAACCAUGCACCGAAGCUGCGGCAGCGACGCUUAUGCGUUGUUGGGUAGGGGAGCGUUCUGUAAGCCUGCGAAGGUGUGCUGUGAGGCAUGCUGGAGGUAUCAGAAGUGCGAAUGCUGACAUAAGUAACGAUAAAGCGGGUGAAAAGCCCGCUCGCCGGAAGACCAAGGGUUCCUGUCCAACGUUAAUCGGGGCAGGGUGAGUCGACCCCUAAGGCGAGGCCGAAAGGCGUAGUCGAUGGGAAACAGGUUAAUAUUCCUGUACUUGGUGUUACUGCGAAGGGGGGACGGAGAAGGCUAUGUUGGCCGGGCGACGGUUGUCCCGGUUUAAGCGUGUAGGCUGGUUUUCCAGGCAAAUCCGGAAAAUCAAGGCUGAGGCGUGAUGACGAGGCACUACGGUGCUGAAGCAACAAAUGCCCUGCUUCCAGGAAAAGCCUCUAAGCAUCAGGUAACAUCAAAUCGUACCCCAAACCGACACAGGUGGUCAGGUAGAGAAUACCAAGGCGCUUGAGAGAACUCGGGUGAAGGAACUAGGCAAAAUGGUGCCGUAACUUCGGGAGAAGGCACGCUGAUAUGUAGGUGAAGUCCCUCGCGGAUGGAGCUGAAAUCAGUCGAAGAUACCAGCUGGCUGCAACUGUUUAUUAAAAACACAGCACUGUGCAAACACGAAAGUGGACGUAUACGGUGUGACGCCUGCCCGGUGCCGGAAGGUUAAUUGAUGGGGUCAGCGCAAGCGAAGCUCUUGAUCGAAGCCCCGGUAAACGGCGGCCGUAACUAUAACGGUCCUAAGGUAGCGAAAUUCCUUGUCGGGUAAGUUCCGACCUGCACGAAUGGCGUAAUGAUGGCCAGGCUGUCUCCACCCGAGACUCAGUGAAAUUGAACUCGCUGUGAAGAUGCAGUGUACCCGCGGCAAGACGGAAAGACCCCGUGAACCUUUACUAUAGCUUGACACUGAACAUUGAGCCUUGAUGUGUAGGAUAGGUGGGAGGCUUUGAAGUGUGGACGCCAGUCUGCAUGGAGCCGACCUUGAAAUACCACCCUUUAAUGUUUGAUGUUCUAACGUUGACCCGUAAUCCGGGUUGCGGACAGUGUCUGGUGGGUAGUUUGACUGGGGCGGUCUCCUCCUAAAGAGUAACGGAGGAGCACGAA
rnacentral:rRNA from 1 species